rnacentral:rRNA from 1 species
GACGAACGCUGGCGGCGUGCUUAACACAUGCAAGUCGAACGAAGUGGCGAAUGGGUGAGUAACGCGUAAUCAACCAGCCCUUCAGAGGGGGACAACAGUUGGAAACGACUGCUAAUACCGCAUACUGAAGGGGGGGUGUGCGUGUGAUUAGCGAGUUGGAGGGGUACCGGCCUACCAAGGCGCUGAUCAGUAGCCGGUCUGAGAGGAUGGUCGGCCCGAUUGGGACUGAGACACGGCCCAGACUCCUACGGGAGGCAGCGGUGGGGAAUCUUGCGCAAUGGACGAAAGUCUGACGGAGCAACGCCGCGUGAGUGAUGACGGCCUUCGGGUUGUAAAGCUCUGUUAAUCGGGACGCGGUACCGGAAUAGAAAGCCACGGCUAACUACGUGCCAGCAGCCGCGGUAAUAC